AGUCCUUCUCAAAUCUUUUUGCGGUCUGGGCUUGCUGUAUAUAAAUACCUAGCCGGGAAGCCCUUACCCCAAAAAGCAUUUGCGGAGGACG
rfam:Xenopus laevis strain J chromosome 4S, whole genome shotgun sequence.